CUGUCCCUACGGGAGGCAGCAGUGGGGAAUAUUGCACAAUGGGGGAAACCCUGAUGCAGCGACGCCGCGUGAGUGAAGAAGUAUUUCGGUAUGUAAAGCUCUCUCAGCAGGGAAGAUAAUGACGGUACCUGACUAAGAAGCCCCGGCUAACUACGUGCCAGCAGCCGCGGUAAUACGUAUGGAGCAAGCGUUAUCCGGAUUUACUGGGUGUAAAGGGAGCGUAGGCGGUAAGGCAAGUCUGAUGUGACAGGCCAGGGCUCAACCCUGGGACUGCAUUGGAAACUGUUUAACUGGAGUGUC
rnacentral:rRNA from 1 species